UAGGGAAUAUUGCAAAAUGGGCGAAAGCCCGAUGCAGCAACGCCGCGUGGGCGAUGAAGGCCUUCGGGUCGUAAAGCCCUUUUUGAGGGGAUGAGGAAGGACAGUACCCUCAGAAUAAGCCUCGGCUAACUACGUGCCAGCAGCCGCGGUAAAACGUAGGAGGCGAGCGUUAUCCGGAUUUACUGGGCGUAAAGCGCGUGCAGGCGGAUUGGAGAGUUGGAUGUGAAAGCUCCCGGCUGAACUGGGAGAGGUCGUUCAAUACUUCCAGUCUUGAGUGCAGUAGAGNGAAGUGGAAUUCCGGGUGUAGUGGUGAAAUGCGUAGAUAUCCGGAGGAACACCAGUGGCGAAAGCGGCUUACUGGACUGUAACUGACGCUCAGACGCGAAAGCUAGGGUAGCAAACG
rnacentral:rRNA from 1 species